GUGCUUGCUUCAUCAGCUCAUAACUAAAACUGGAACAAUAUAGAGAUACAGGUAUGGCCCCUGAACAAGGAUGACACAGAAAUUCAAGAAGCAUUCCAUAUAAUU
ensembl:snRNA U6 U6 spliceosomal RNA